rnacentral:rRNA from 2 species
UGGUUCCGGUAUUGAAAUUGGCUACUGGCAUCAUAGAAUUUUUUUAGAUUCAUGAUGUCGUAAGGGAAAAUAAUGAUAAUACCUUACUAUGAGUGUCGUCCAAAUCUAGUGCCAGAAGACUCGGUAAGACCAGAGACGCAAACGUUAAUCAUCAUAAACAGGCGUAAAGGGUUUGUAGGCAGCUUUUACCAAACUAUGAUUUCAAAAUAAAGUAGUUUAAUUAAAAGCUAGAAUCAAAAAGAGGUUAUAGUGUAUAACGCCUAGAGGAGGGCUGAUAUCCUUAGAUCCUAGGCAGAAUACUUAGGGCGAAGGCCACUUUCCAUUAAUGAUUGACGCUGAGAAACGAAGGUUAGGGUAGGAAAUAGGAUUAGAUACCCCGGUACUCCUUUCUGUAAACGAUGAAUGGUAGUUAUUAGUUAAUAAAAAUAACUAGAGACGAAGUUAACACAAUAACCAUUCCGCCUUGUGAGUACUACUGCAAAGUAGAAAACAAAAAAAUUAGUCGGUCUCGAAGCAAACGGAGUGAAGCAUGUUAUUUAAUUCGAUUAAAUCCGCAA